rnacentral:rRNA from 1 species
CUGAAUCUAGCCGUAACUUCAGCUUGGAGUUCUCUAGUUUGAGCCCCCGAAACCGGACGAGCUACUCCGGGACAGCCUAACGUAGGGCCAACCCGUCUCUGUGGCAAAAGAGUGGGAAGAUCCCCGAGUAGAGGUGAAAGACCUACCGAGUCAGGUUAUAGCUGGUUGCCUGGAAAAUGAAUAGAAGUUCAGCUCCGUCAAGCGCCCUUCCCCCGAUCCCGAUCAAACAAGGUAGAAGGACACCCACGGAAGUUAGCUAGGGGAGGUACAGCUCCCCUAACAAAGGACACAACCUUCACAGGAGGCUAAAGAAUAUAUUAAACUAAGGUUACAGGCUUCAGUGGGCCUAAAAGCAGCCACCUGAGCAGAAAGCGUUAAAGCUCAAGCCAAAUCAAGCCCAUUAUUCUAUUAACGAAUCUCUGACGCCCCUAAUAAAUACCAGGCCCCCCCAUGCCCUCAUGGGAGAGACCAUGCUAGAACGAGUAAUAAGAAGAAAGAACUUCUCCCCGCACAUGUGUAAGUCGAAUCGGACCACCCAUCGACGAUUAACGAACCCAACAACAGAGGCCCAUGCACCAUCGCCACGCAGGCCAAGAAGACCACGCAAAUCGGAUCGUUUACCCCACACAGGAGUGCAAAUAAGGAAAGACUUAAGGAAUGAAAAGGAACUCGGCAAACCUAGACCCCGCCUGUUUACCAAAAACAUCGCCUCCUGCCCAUAUUGACCUAUAGGAGGUCCCGCCUGCCCUGUGACCAAAAGUUUAACGGCCGCGGUAUCCUAACCGUGCAAAGGUAGCGCAAUCAAUUGUCUUUUAAAUGGAGACCUGUAUGAAUGGCAUAACGAGGGUCUAACUGUCUCUUUUUUCCAGUCAAUGAAACUGAUCUGGCCGUGGGGGGGCGGGCAUGAGUGCACAAGACGAGAAGACCCUAUGGAGCUUUAGACGCCCACCAGCCAUUGGAAGCAGCCCCACUAAUAGACCUCCAAAUAAGAUGGGCCCUGGUAUAAACGUCUUCGGUUGGGGCGACCACGGAGGAAAAUAAAGCCUCCGAGAGGAACAGGGGGAAACCCUAAACCAAGAGCCACAGCUCUAAGCAACAGAAUAUUUGACCGGAAUGAUCCGGCCUAUUGCCGACCAGCGGACCGAGUUACCCUAGGGGAUAACAGCGCAAUCCUCUCCCAGAGUCCAUAUCGACGAGAGGGUUUACGACCUCGAUGUUGAUCGGGACAUCCUAAUGGUGCAGCCGCUAUUAAGGGUUCGUUUGUCACGAUUAGAGUCCUACGUGAUCUGAGUUCAAACCGG